UAUGUGUAUUAUACGAGUAUUAAACGAAUUUUUGCUAACUAGAAGAUAAUGGGUCCUGAAAUUGGAUUUCAAAGGGUCUUGAAAUUGGAUUUCAAAAUAAGGGCAUCAUGGUCAUUGCAUAAUAAAUUUCUAACAAACUGAAAAUUGUAUUUCAAUUGCAAACUUUGUCACCAAAUAAUGUAAUUGGAAUUACACAAUCUCUAAUUCCUUAAUUCUCAUUUUCUACUUUUUUCCCACUUUCCAUUACUUCAUACCAAACGAGAUCUUAGUAUCUGGGGACUGGGCUUAUAUAGCGUCAACAAACUCAGUGGCGGAGCCACUUACAUACUUGGGGUUCGGCCGAACCCCUUGCCGUUUCUUUUCAUUAUUAUGUAUAUAUGUUUCCAAAUCCGAGAACCAAC
rnacentral:lncRNA from 1 species